rnacentral:tRNA from 1 species
GCUGGCGUAGCUCAGUUGGCAGAGCAGCUGACUUGUAAUCAGCAGGUCGGGGGUUCGAUUCCGUCCGCCAGCUCCA